rnacentral:rRNA from 1 species
UACGGGGGGGGGCAAGCGUUGUUCGGAAUUACUGGGCGUAAAGGGCGCGUAGGCGGCCUUCUAAGUCGGACGUGAAAUCCCUCGGCUCAACCGGGGAACUGCGUCCGAUACUGGAGGGCUUGAAUCCGGGAGAGGGAUGUGGAAUUCCAGGUGUAGCGGUGAAAUGCGUAGAUAUCUGGAGGAACACCGGUGGCGAAGGCGGCAUCCUGGACCGGCAUUGACGCUGAGGCGCGAAAGCCAGGGGAGCAAACGGG